UGUUUGAGGAUGGAGGAGAAACACCCAGAGGAAAUCUCAUGUAUACUUCCUCGUCUAGUUCACUAUGUAAAAAAGCGUUAUUUACAUCCAAUUGAUGCAAUAACCAGUGCUUCUUGAUUGCAAUGCUUAAAAUGCAACGAAUUGUGGUCAUCUUAAUCACAGGCGAGGCAUUGGUUUCUUACCAGGAGGCAAAGUGAAAAUCUCCCAAGUGCAAUUGGAUUCAAGUGCUUCAAGUUCCUUUUGCAUAGCUAAUUGCCAACCUGGGUGGUUAACUGCUUGAUGGUGAAUCAGAUGCUGUCAAGUGAUAAGGAUGAGUAGAAGCUACUGCUUCCUUGGCAGUAGUCCCAGAUUCAGAAACUGUGUUGUUUGUCAUUUUUGCAGAUGAAGAAGAGAAAGAAAACUUGAAAUCUGGGAGA